rnacentral:rRNA from 1 species
UACGGAGGGAGCUAGCGUUGUUCGGAAUCACUGGGCGUAAAGCGCGCGUAGGCGGUUACUCAAGUCAGAGGUGAAAGCCCGGGGCUCAACCCCGGAACUGCCUUUGAAACUAGGUGACUAGAAUCUUGGAGAGGCGAGUGGAAUUCCGAGUGUAGAGGUGAAAUUCGUAGAUAUUCGGAAGAACACCAGUGGCGAAGGCGACUCGCUGGACAAGUAUUGACGCUGAGGUGCGAAAGCGUGGGGAGCAAACAGG